ensembl:antisense 0610040F04Rik RIKEN cDNA 0610040F04 gene
GGGUUUGCUCUGAAGACCAGAAGAGCCAAGGGUUGGGAAAGCAACAUACCUCUUGUGAAGAUUCUCUUACCACGAGUUCAAGAAAGCUGCUGCUUGUACAGCUUUUGCAUCUUGGGUUAACCAUUUAGAAGCUGUAUUUUGCUCUCACAGAAAGUACUGGGAAGUCUGCUACCCUUAGUAAUUGGCUGCCCUAGGCAACUGCUUGUUUGCGUUCAGUUCUCCCAGCUGGAGUCAUUGUUCCAACUUAUUUGUACGUUUUUUGAGUCUGUAAACUGGAACUCAUUCUAUAGACCAAGCUGGUCUUGAACUCAGAAAUCUGGCUGUCUCUGCCUCCCAAGUGCUGAGAUUGAAGGCGUGCGCCACCACGGCCCAGCAGAACUAACCCAUUCUUAUUGGAGCUACAUCAAUCCCUUUCUAUGAGUGGACUCUACCAGGGCAUAAUUACUUCAUCAAGGUUCUACCACCUGACUACACCAUUAUGCUGAUGACCAAAGCACAACAUGAGUUUUAUCAGGACAAGCAAAAUGUACACUCUGGAUCCCCA